CUCUGCUCAACAUGGACUAUUAUGGACUUUCUCUGAUCGUUGCCUCACUUCUAACAGGAGUCAGCUGUAAAGAACUGACAGCAGUCAAAGAUAAAGAGUCCAGUCAAGAAGGCAGCUCUGUUACUCUGUCCUACAGAUACUCUGAAAAAGCAACUGGUUCUGAUUAUUUCUACUGGUAUCGACAAUAUCCAGGAAAACCUCCAGAGUUCCUGAUCUCUCAUUUUGGAUCAGGAAAAGAAAUAUCUCAGCCAGUUCCUGGUCUGUCCUUUAAAGUGAGUGAAGAUAAAACCCAGAUGGACCUGCUGAUCUCCUCUGCUGCAGUGACAGACUCUGCUGUGUACUACUGUGCUGUGAAGCCCACAGUGACAGGAAACACCAGAACUCUGUACAAGAACCUGCAGUACUCCACAACAUCCACUAGAGGGCCUCACACACUGUUCAACCACUGAUUGUUGAGUCCUUGGACUGAUGACAAAGACAACAGAGACAUGAAGCAGUAAAGAUCAGAGACAGAGCUGCUGUGGAAGCAGGAAACUCUUUGAUUGGUUGAGUAAAAGUGGCCCCGCCCACUGAACUUCAGCUCCUCCAAUGACAUUAUGUCUUCCUCCUGCAGUGGAGGAACAUUGUUCAUCUGCUGUGUGGCUUUCAGAGCUCCACAGACAUGUUGCUUUACCUCUUUUUGCUUCUAUCUCACAUUAGAGGUGAGUUUAAGAACAGGGAUUCAGGUUUUGUUCCAGCUGCUGCAUUAACCACAGAUACAGACUGCAUUUCACUACUUUUCUGCUUCCUUUGC